AUGACGGUACUGCGGCUCCCAAAAAAGCUUCUGAAGGAUAUUGACAAGGCCAGGCGGCGAUUUCUAUGGGCGCAAGAUGAAUAUUUGUCAGGCGGGAAGUGCAAAGUUAACUGGAAAACGGUAUGCUCCCCAAUCCAAAAGGGCGGCCUUGGCAUUCAGGAUCUUCAACUUUUCGGCAGCGCUCUUCGUCUUCAGUGGCUUUGGUUGGAAUGGGUCUAG
rnacentral:rRNA from 1 species